GCGGAGGGCCGGAUGGCCGCGACACCCCGGCAACGGGGUGGCGAGGAAAGUCCGGACUCCACAAGACGACGGUGCCGGGUAACGCCCGGCCGGGGCAACCCGAGGGAAAGCGCCACAGAAAACAGACCGCCCCGGUUACGACCGUGGCAAGGGUGAAACGGUGGGGUAAGAGCCCACCGCGGGACGGGCAACCGGACCGGCACGGCAAGCCCCACCGGGAGCAAUGCCGAAUAGGGACCGCGCGCGGGGCAGGUCGGGCAACCGAUACCGCCCGCAGGCCACGUCUUGGCCCGGCGGUCCGGGUAGGCAGCUAGAGGCGCGCGGGCAACCGCGCGUCGAGACGAAUGGUCAUCCGAAGGGGGCCCCGCGCCCCCGGGACAGAAUCCGGCUUACAGGCCCUCCGCGCGC
rnacentral:RNase_P_RNA from 1 species